rnacentral:rRNA from 1 species
CGAGAGUGAGUUUACCCCGUGUAUAAGCACGGGCCAACUACGGGCCAGCAGCCGCGGUAAUACUUAGGGUGCAAGCGUUAUCCGGAAUUAUUGGGGCGUAAAGGGCUUGUAGUCGGUUCGUCGCGUCCGGUGUGAAAGUCCAUCGCUAAACCGGUGGAUCCGCGCCGGGUACGGGCGGGCUUGAGUACGUUAGGGGAGACUGGAAUUCCCGGUGUAACGGUGGAAUGUGUAGAUAUCGGGAAGAACACCAAUGGCGAAGGCAGGUCUCUGGGCCGUUACUGACGCUGAGGAGCGAAAGCGUGGGGAGCGAACAGGAUUAGAUACCCUGGUAGUCCACGCCGUAAACGGUGGAUGCUGGAUGUGGGGCCCGUUCCACGGGUUCCGUGUCGGAGCUAACGCGUUAAGCAUCCCGCCUGGGGAGUACGGCCGCAAGGCUAAUACUCAAAGAAAUUGACGGGGGCCCGCACAAGCGGCGGAGCAUGCGGAUUAAUUCGAUGCAACGCGAAGAACCUUACCUGGGCUUGACAUGUUCCCGACGGUCGUAGAGAUACGGCUUCCCUUCGGGGCGGGUUCACAGGUGGUGCAUGGUCGUCGUCAGCUCGUGUCGUGAGAUGUUGGGUUAAGUCCCGCAACGAGCGCAACCCUCGCCCCGUGUUGCCAGCGGAUUAUGCCGGGAACUCACGGGGGGACCGCCGGGGUUAACUCGGAGGAAGGUGGGGAUGACGUCAGAUCAUCAUGCCCCUUACGUCCAGGGCUUCACGCAUGCUACAAUGGCCGGUACAACGGGAUGCGACGCGGCGACGCGGAGCGGAUCCCUGAAAACCGGUCUCAGUUCGGAUCGCAGUCUGCAACUCGACUGCGUGAAGGCGGAGUCGCUAGUAAUCGCGAAUCAGCAACGUCGCGGGAAUGUUAACCCGGGCCGUGUACACACCGCCCGUCAAGUCAUGUUAAGCGCAGCACGACAGCUUCAGCCUAAAUCAUGCGCAGUACCUGCAGCUUNNNGAAACCUUNCCNCAA